rnacentral:misc_RNA from 1 species
AAUGAUCUUGCUAAUGCAUUUUAGAAGAGCCGACUUGUAAAAGCCAGCAGCUCCCAUAAUCCAAGCCUGACUAGCAAAAGCCAGAAAGGUUGAGAAUUUCAUGACACUCAAACAGGCAUGCUCCUCGGAAUACCAAGGAGCGCAAGGUGCGUUCAAAGAUUCGAUGAUUCACUGAAUUCUGCAAUUCACAUUACUUAUCGCAUUUCGCUGCGUUCUUCAUCGAUGCUUCCAGGUUAGG